AAAAAAUUUGUCAAAACUACACGGUACGAAGUAGAGCACCAGAUAAAAGAGUGGCUACGCCAUGCGAGGGACAGGGCAGAAAGAGCAAGUGUUCCUAGAAGGGUCCAGGCACAAUCAACAGCAUGAAUGCAGAUCUCUCCCAAGUUGUAAGAGUGCUCGACGGCCCACUAUGUCUCACGCCACCAGAGUUUGUUUUAGUUGUGUUUUUUUAGUUUUUGCUGCUGAAUGCGAAAGUUCUUGAGAGUGCUCGAGGCAUAUGCUAUAUAUCAGGGUGCAGCGCUAGUUUUUUUUUUUUCUUCUGUCAACUUAAGAAAGUUUUGAAACGUGCUCCAGCCUCACAUUGUCUUACCGGUUUCAUAUUUGUACUGCUCAGCCUGAGAAAAGUUUUUAAGUGUGCUCGAUGGCCCACCAUAUCUCACACCAUCAGAGUUUUAUUUGUGUUUUUUAGUUUGUGCUGCCCA